GAGUUUGAUCCUGGCUCAGAACGUACGCUGGCGGCACGCCUAACACAUGCAAGUCGAACGAAGUAGCAAUACUUAGUGGCAGACGGGUGAGUAACAUGUAGGUAUCUGCCCUUUGGCCUGGAAUAACACGAGGAAACUUGUGCUAAUACCGGAUAAGUCUUUACGGAGAAAGCUUUAUGCACCAUUGGAUGAGCCUGCACUUGAUUAGUUUGUUGGUGGGGUAAUGGCCUACCAAGACUGUGAUCAAUAGCUGAUUUGAGAGGAUGAUCAGCCACAUUGGGACUGAGACACGGCCCAAACUCCUACGGGAGGCAGCAGUGGGGAAUCUUGCACAAUGGAGGAAACUCUGAUGCAGCGAUGCCGCGUGAGUGAAGAAGGCCCUUGGGUUGUAAAGCUCUUUCGUCGGGGAAGAAAAUGACUGUACCCGAAUAAGAAGGUCCGGCUAACUUCGUGCCAGCAGCCGCGGUAAUACGAAGGGACCUAGCGUAGUUCGGAAUUACUGGGCUUAAAGAGUUCGUAGGUGGUUGAAAAAGUUAGUGGUGAAAUCCCAGAGCUUAACUCUGGAACUGCCAUUAAAACUUUUCAGCUAGAGUAUGAUAGAGGAAAGCAGAAUUUCUAGUGUAGAGGUGAAAUUCGUAGAUAUUAGAAAGAAUACCAAUUGCGAAGGCAGCUUUCUGGAUCAUUACUGACACUGAGGAACGAAAGCAUGGGUAGCGAAGAGGAUUAGAUACCCUCGUAGUCCAUGCCGUAAACGAUGUGUGUUAGACGUUGGAAAUUUAUUUUCAGUGUCGCAGGGAAACCGAUAAACACACCGCCUGGGGAGUACGACCGCAAGGUUAAAACUCAAAUGAAUUGACGGGGACCCGCACAAGUAGUGGAGCAUGUGGUUUAAUUCGAAGAUACGCGCAGAACCUUACCAACACUUGACAUGUUCGUCGCGACUCUAAGAGAUUAGAGUUUUCGGUUCGGCCGGACGAAACACAGGUGCUGCAUGGCUGUCGUCAGCUCGUGUCGUGAGAUGUUGGGUUAAGUCCCGCAACGAGCGCAACCCUCACUCUUAGUUGCCAUCAUUAAGUUGGGCACUCUGAAAGAACUGCCAGUGAUAAGCUGGAGGAAGGUGGGGAUGACGUCAAGUCCUCAUGGCCCUUACGUGUUGGGCUACACACGUGCUACAAUGGUAUCUACAACAGGAAGCAAGACUGCGAAGUUAAGCAAAUCCCUAAAAGAUACCUCAGUUCGGAUUGCACUCUGCAACUCGAGUGCAUGAAGCUGGAAUUACUAGUAAUCGUGGAUCAGCGUGCCACGGUGAAUGCGUUCCCGGGUCUUGUACACACCGCCCGUCACACCAUGGGAGUUGGUUCUACCUUAAGGCAAGGUUUCAAACCCUUGACCACGGUAUAGUCAGCGACUGGGGUGAAGUCGUAACAAGGUAACC
rnacentral:rRNA from 1 species